UUAAGCGACUAAGCGUACACGGUGGAUGCCCUGGCAGUCAGAGGCGAUGAAGGACGUGCUAAUCUGCGAAAAGCGUCGGUAAGGUGAUAUGAACCGUUAUAACCGGCGAUGUCCGAAUGGGGAAACCCAGUGUGAUUCGUCACACUAUCGUUAACUGAAUACAUAGGUUAACGAGGCGAACCGGGGGAACUGAAACAUCUAAGUACCCCGAGGAAAAGAAAUCAACCGAGAUUCCCCCAGUAGCGGCGAGCGAACGGGGAGCAGCCCAGAGUCUGAAUCAGCUUGUGUGUUAGUGGAACGGUCUGGAAAGUCCGACGGUACAGGGUGAUAGUCCCGUACACCAAAAUGCACAGGUUGUGAACUCGAAGAGUAGGGCGGGACACGUGGUAUCCUGUCUGAAUAUGGGGGGACCAUCCUCCAAGGCUAAAUACUCCUGACUGACCGAUAGUGAACCAGUACCGUGAGGGAAAGGCGAAAAGAACCCCGGCGAGGGGAGUGAAAAAGAACCUGAAACCGUGUACGUACAAGCAGUGGGAGCACCUUCGGGUGUGACUGCGUACCUUUUGUAUAAUGGGUCAGCGACUUAUAUUCUGUAGCAAGGUUAACCGUAUAGGGGAGCCGCAGGGAAACCGAGUCUUAACUGGGCGUUAAGUUGCAGGGUAUAGACCCGAAACCCGGUGAUCUAGCCAUGGGCAGGUUGAAGGUUGGGUAACACUAACUGGAGGACCGAACCGACUAAUGUUGAAAAAUUAGCGGAUGACUUGUGGCUGGGGGUGAAAGGCCAAUCAAACCGGGAGAUAGCUGGUUCUCCCCGAAAGCUAUUUAGGUAGCGCCUCGUGAAUUCAUCUUCGGGGGUAGAGCACUGUUUCGGCUAGGGGGUCAUCCCGACUUACCAACCCGAUGCAAACUACGAAUACCGAAGAAUGUUAUCACGGGAGACACACGGCGGGUGCUAACGUCCGUCGUGAAGAGGGAAACAACCCAGACCGCCAGCUAAGGUCCCAAAGUCAUGGUUAAGUGGGAAACGAUGUGGGAAGGCACAGACAGCCAGGAUGUUGGCUUAGAAGCAGCCAUCAUUUAAAGAAAGCGUAAUAGCUCACUGGUCGAGUCGGCCUGCGCGGAAGAUGUAACGGGGCUAAACCAUGCACCGAAGCUGCGGCAGCGACACUAUGUGUUGUUGGGUAGGGGAGCGUUCUGUAAGCCUGCGAAGGUGACCUGUGAGGGUUGCUGGAGGUAUCAGAAGUGCGAAUGCUGACAUAAGUAACGAUAAAGCGGGUGAAAAGCCCGCUCGCCGGAAGACCAAGGGUUCCUGUCCAACGUUAAUCGGGGCAGGGUGAGUCGACCCCUAAGGCGAGGCCGAAAGGCGUAGUCGAUGGGAAACAGGUUAAUAUUCCUGUACUUGGUGUUACUGCGAAGGGGGGACGGAGAAGGCUAUGUUAGCCGGGCGACGGUUGUCCCGGUUUAAGCAUGUAGGCUGGUUGUCCAGGCAAAUCCGGAUAAUCAAGGCUGAGGUGUGAUGACGAGGCACUACGGUGCUGAAGUAACAAAUGCCCUGCUUCCAGGAAAAGCCUCUAAGCAUCAGGUAACAUCAAAUCGUACCCCAAACCGACACAGGUGGUCAGGUAGAGAAUACCAAGGCGCUUGAGAGAACUCGGGUGAAGGAACUAGGCAAAAUGGUGCCGUAACUUCGGGAGAAGGCACGCUGGUGUGUAGGUGAAGUCCCUGCGGAUGGAGCUGAGACCAGUCGAAGAUACCAGCUGGCUGCAACUGUUUAUUAAAAACACAGCACUGUGCAAACACGAAAGUGGACGUAUACGGUGUGACGCCUGCCCGGUGCCGGAAGGUUAAUUGAUGGGGUUAUCCGUAAGGAGAAGCUCUUGAUCGAAGCCCCGGUAAACGGCGGCCGUAACUAUAACGGUCCUAAGGUAGCGAAAUUCCUUGUCGGGUAAGUUCCGACCUGCACGAAUGGCGUAAUGAUGGCCAGGCUGUCUCCACCCGAGACUCAGUGAAAUUGAACUCGCUGUGAAGAUGCAGUGUACCCGCGGCAAGACGGAAAGACCCCGUGAACCUUUACUAUAGCUUGACACUGAACAUUGAGCCUUGAUGUGUAGGAUAGGUGGGAGGCUUUGAAGCGUGGACGCCAGUCUGCGUGGAGCCAACCUUGAAAUACCACCCUUUAAUGUUUGAUGUUCUAACGUUGGCCCCUGACCGGGGUUGCGGACAGUGUCUGGUGGGUAGUUUGACUGGGGCGGUCUCCUCCCAAAGCGUAACGGAGGAGCACGAAGGUUAGCUAAUCCUGGUCGGACAUCAGGAGGUUAGUGCAAUGGCAUAAGCUAGCUUGACUGCGAGCGUGACGGCGCGAGCAGGUGCGAAAGCAGGUCAUAGUGAUCCGGUGGUUCUGAAUGGAAGGGCCAUCGCUCAACGGAUAAAAGGUACUCCGGGGAUAACAGGCUGAUACCGCCCAAGAGUUCAUAUCGACGGCGGUGUUUGGCACCUCGAUGUCGGCUCAUCACAUCCUGGGGCUGAAGUAGGUCCCAAGGGUAUGGCUGUUCGCCAUUUAAAGUGGUACGCGAGCUGGGUUUAGAACGUCGUGAGACAGUUCGGUCCCUAUCUGCCGUGGGCGCUGGAGAAUUGAGGGGGGCUGCUCCUAGUACGAGAGGACCGGAGUGGACGCAUCACUGGUGUUCGGGUUGUCAUGCCAAUGGCACUGCCCGGUAGCUAAAUGCGGAAGAGAUAAGUGCUGAAAGCAUCUAAGCACGAAACUUGCCCCGAGAUGAGUUCUCCCUGAGACUAUAAGUCUCCUGAAGGAACGUUAAAGACGAUGACGUUGAUAGGCCGGGUGUGUAAGCGCAGCGAUGCGUUGAGCUAACCGGUACUAAUGAACCGUGAGGCUUAACCUU
rnacentral:rRNA from 1 species